GGGCUCGAUCCCGGGACCCCGAGAUCAUGACCUGAGUUGAAGGCAUACACUUAGCCAACUGAGCCACCCAGGUGCCCUGCUCUGUAAAGUAUUUUAAAGACAGAGGUUAAAUACUGGUUGUUUCAAGUUUAGGUAACUAAUAAGAAAAAGUAAGGAAUUAAAUGACUGCGUGUGUCGGGGUGUUAAAAGCCUUCUUGAUUUAAUAAUGGAGGAAAUCCUGGAGUGAAGACUGAGGGAUGAAAUGUAAAAGAUAGUUCAGACCGAAAAGCUAAUUCGGGAAGCUAGCCAGCAAUUGACUCACAGCAGGACCUAGCUUCUAAAUCCUGAAAUAAAGGAGUUUUGGAUUAUGGGGACGGCUGUGUUUUCUAAUAGUCUGGAUGCAGUGUACUAUUGGGUAUUAGUAUCACUGCUAAUAUUACAAGGAUUAAAAGGGUCAAAACAAGACUUUGAUGUACCAAACUUCAGAAACUUUUAUUUAAGUGUGUGUAAAAAAGCCUUCCCGGAGUCACAGAUUUAAAAGUGUGACUACAGAGAUUCAGUGGGCCUACCAUGUCUUUGUACAUGAAAGCAGCUUUUUUUUUUUUUUUUCGAGAUUUCAGGAAUGCAAAUGAGAACUAACAUCAGGUACUUUACUUUUCAAGUAAAAAAUCUAAAGUGUUAAAGAAUUAGAUUUCUCCGGUUUUCUAGGGCCUGUUGCUAUCUAGGAACAGAGAACAGUGAUCCAAAACAUUGAAAAGCGACACAUUAUUUCUGGUUGUUUUAAACAGAAUUGGGAAAGGGAGAGUGCCAUAGGAUCCUUGAAAAGUGAAACUGGGAGACUUUCAUAAAGGGUCAAAAGACUUCACAAUAGAGUACAAUGGCAGUGUCCAAAUAAGUAGAAUGGAAGGCUCUGCAGAAGCUUGGAGCGGGGUGGGUGGUGAUGGGAGAAUUGCAUUUUUAAAACCAUUGGCACACAGCCACUGGAGUCUAAAUAUAAAUCAGACCAGACCACGUCACUCCAUAGCAUAAAGCCCGCCAGUGUCUUCCCAUUGCAUUUCAAAUGAAAUCCAAUCUCUGCAACGUGGCCUGCAGGUCCUGUGCAAUCUGGACCCAGCUAGCUUCUCCAGCCUACGGCACAUAGCUCCCUGUCCUGCUCACUGGGCCCCA
rnacentral:lncRNA from 1 species